rnacentral:rRNA from 1 species
CGAAAUGGGAAGUUUUGUGAACCUUAACACUUAGAGGAAGGAGAAGUCGUAACAAGGUUUCCGUAGGUGAACCUGCGGAAGGAUCAUUC